GCCGAGGUGGUGAAAUUGGUAGACACGCCAGCCCUAGGAGCUGGUGGGGCAACCCGUGGAGGUUCAAGUCCUCUCCUCGGCA
rfam:Parcubacteria group bacterium CG1_02_41_26 cg1_0.2_scaffold_12664_c, whole genome shotgun sequence.